rnacentral:rRNA from 13 species
AUGAUCAUACCGUGCUGAAAGCACUGGUUCUCGUCUGAUCACCACAGUCAAGCAGCAUCGAGCGCGGUCAGUACUUCGGGGGUGACCACGUGGGAACAGC